rnacentral:rRNA from 1 species
CAACGAAUAUUCCGCAAUGGGCGAAAGCCUGACGGAGCGACGCCGCGUGGAGGAUGAAGUCCCUCGGGAUGUAAACUUCAAUAGUAUGCCAGGAAGCGAAUCGACCUAAUACGUCGGUGAGUUGACCAUCAUAUGACAGGGGCGGCUAACUCCGUGCCAGCAGCCGCGGUAAGACGGAGGCCCCGAGCGUUGUUCGGAAUCACUGGGCUUAAAGCGCGUGUAGGCGGAACGGUAAGUACCUUGUGAAAUCCCCGGCUUCAACCCGGGAACUGCUCGGUAUACUAUCGUUCUUGAGGCAAGUAGGGGUUACUGGAACCUUAGGUGGAGCGGUGAAAUGCGUAGAUAUCUAAGGGAACGCCAGGGGCGAAAGCGGGUAACUGGGCUUGUCCUGACGCUGAGACGCGAAAGCGUAGGGAGCAAACGGG